rnacentral:piRNA from 1 species
UCUCCAAUGAAGAAUCUUAAGUCUCAGGGCU